ACUUAAGUAGUUUAAAGAAAAUAUUGAUUUGUGGUGUCAGUGAUGUAGUUAUCUAUCUUAAGUC
rnacentral:tRNA from 1 species